rnacentral:rRNA from 1 species
GAUGAACGCUAGCGGGAGGCUUAACACAUGCAAGUCGAGGGGUAACAUGAGGUAGCAAUACUUUGAUGACGACCGGCGCACGGGUGAGUAACGCGUAUGUAACCUACCUUGUACAGGGGGAUAGCCCGGAGAAAUUCGGAUUAAUACCCCAUAAUGAUAUCUGAAGGCAUCUUUAGAUAUCUAAAGUUUCGACGGUACGAGAUGGGCAUGCGUGACAUUAGCUAGUUGGUAAGGUAACGGCUUACCAAGGCUGCGAUGUCUAGGGGUCCUGAGAGGGUGAUCCCCCACACUGGUACUGAGACACGGACCAGACUCCUACGGGAGGCAGCAGUGAGGAAUAUUGGUCAAUGGGCGUAAGCCUGAACCAGCCAUCCCGCGUGAAGGAAGAAGGCGCUAUGCGUCGUAAACUUCUUUUCCGGAGGAAUAAAAUUUCGUACGUGUACGGGACUGAAGGUACUCCGGGAAUAAGCAUCGGCUAACUCCGUGCCAGCCGCCGCAGUAACAC